GGGAAGCAAGCACGACGGAAUCGAAGCACGACGGGAAACCCCAAAAUUGGACGAAAACCCUAAUUUAGUUAUUAUGAAAUUUUUCGAGGAAGCCGGAGGCUCAGGACAUAUUUUCCCUCAACUUCAGAGAUCAAGUGGAGUUUAUUAAAAUUGUUCUGAGCAUCAGAAAGGGUGUAGAAAAAUAUUUGGGAUUGAUCGCGGGACGAAAAUUCACCGGAAUGGUCGAAAUCAGGCGAAUGGACCGAGAAGCUCGAGGUGGCUUGUUGCAUGGGUUCAGAACGUGGUGUCAACCAUCCAGCAAGCUGAGUGUCUACAGAAGCUCGAGGUGUCGCCGUGCAUGGAAGCUGCACAUGCAGCUUGACAUGUAGAAGCACGAGGUGGAUCGACCAAGCACGAGGUGUCUCCGCGCAUGCAACCGAAGCAUGCGGCCAGCCAUGUGUGUGAUGCUGUGGCGCCUUGCAUGAGUUCCAGUCAUGCAGCCUGACAUCUGGGAGGAGUGGUGGCGUCCUGCAUGUGUCCUGACAUGCAGCCAGCCAUGUGGAGCACGAGGUGGAUCGGCCAAGCACGAGAUGUCGCGACGCAUGCAAUCGAAGCAUGCUGA
rnacentral:lncRNA from 1 species